GCGGGAGAGGAGUGGGUGUGCUUCCAAACCAUGCACCUUCAUCAAGAUACAUAAGGGGCAUUUAGAAAUUGAGCAAAUGAAGAUUUAAGUGAUUUGCUGUUGCCAUUGGAUAUUGCAACAGGUGCAGGAAUGAGAAGUGAGAGCCUAGGAUACAUCAGGGCAGCAUGCAGCAGUUGGCUGUUUGGUGAAUGGCACACAGAUCCACAGAUGGACGUGCCUCCUCUGCUUGAUGCAUGCUUCUCUGUGGUGAGUAUCGCUGCAAGGAUGAAGCUGCUAUGCCCUCCACUCUGCAGAACGUCUGUGUUGGAGCAGGAUCCAGUGAAGUUGAAAUGUGCCCUUGAAGGCUGCUGUAAAAUAACUUCUCAAGACAUUUAUUGGGACUACAUCAUAAAGAGAACAUCUGCAGCUAUGCAAAAGUAGAUAAAGAAGAUGGAUGUGUUAACAUAGGUAUGCAAUUCCAACCAGACACAGCGUUGAGAUAAAUCUGAGACUUCAGACUUUCAAAGAUUACAUCCAAGUUCCAGUCUUAAAUUAUUAACUGAGGAGAUCAUGGUUUCUGAAAGAUAAAUAUUUUUACUUCCAGAAGUUGCAGAAUGAUGAACUAAAAUUAUUAAUACUGAGGAAGAAUGAUAGAAGAAAUAUAAAAGCAUUUAUUAAAAUAAAAUUUUAGUUUCUAUCUAAUGUCUGUGGGUCUGCUUUCCAGAACCAGAGUGUUGGUGGAGGAAAAAUGUUGAUGGAAAAUGUGGAAUUUUAUUG
ensembl:lncRNA